GAUGAACGCUGGCGGCGUGCCUAAUACAUGCAAGUCGAGCGAACAGAUGAGGAGCUUGCUCCUCUGACGUUAGCGGCGGACGGGUGAGUAACACGUGGAUAACCUACCUAUAAGACUGGGAUAACUUCGGGAAACCGGAGCUAAUACCGGAUAAUAUAUUGAACCGCAUGGUUCAAUAGUGAAAGACGGUUUUGCUGUCACUUAUAGAUGGAUCCGCGCCGCAUUAGCUAGUUGGUAAGGUAACGGCUUACCAAGGCAACGAUGCGUAGCCGACCUGAGAGGGUGAUCGGCCACACUGGAACUGAGACACGGUCCAGACUCCUACGGGAGGCAGCAGUAGGGAAUCUUCCGCAAUGGGCGAAAGCCUGACGGAGCAACGCCGCGUGAGUGAUGAAGGUCUUCGGAUCGUAAAACUCUGUUAUUAGGGAAGAACAAAUGUGUAAGUAACGAUGCACGUCUGGACGGUACCUAAUCAGAAAGCCACGGCUAACUACGU
rnacentral:rRNA from 1 species